GGUGAGUCUCAAAGCUGGUCAGUGACUUCCAGGAGGGCACAUGGAUUUGUAUUCUCAAUCCAAGUUCUGUUUGAUUUUGUAACACAAAUGGGUUCCUUUGAGAACUCAAGGAGAAAGUGGAUUCAAGUCGAAACCCUCAUGGCUGACAUUCACAGACGCCUUGACGCAAAUCCCAUAUGCUCUCAGUACUGGUUACAGGCCAGAAGCUAUUUAAAACAUGCAACAAGCUUAUAAGGUCGCACAGGACCAUCCCUGCCACCCUGGCAUUGUCACUUGGAGGCCAGCUGACUCCCCCAGACCAUGCUGAGCAGACCUCACUGUAUCUGGAUCCACACUGCAGAGGUGAUAUACAAGUGCUCCAAAGCCAUAUGAGUGCUUCUCAACAUCACCCAUCACCUGAGACAAGCCAAUCAAAUCCAUCACAAUCUGUUACAUCCUCAUGAGAGAAAUAUCAC